GAAUGAGGAGCUAAGGAUCCUGCUAAGUGUGAUUUGAAGGUCAAGGCAGGAGGGAGCCCUCAAAGGCUUUGAUCAGGGCCUGAGGGGCCAGCCUUCCAUUCCAGAAAUCUCCCUUCAGCUUGGAAUAUGGAAGCUGGAGGCAGGGAGGCCCUAGGGGAGGCCCAUGGUCUUCAUGAUCAUUCCGUCUCCAGCAGGGGAUGGACAGGAGGCCAAAUGGCAGCCAUGCCUGAAGGCAGGACUUACAAAGUCAAGGAAGGACCCGGUGGUCUGGCCCCAGUCAAGCCUUCCUCCCUGCCUGCUGCUCUCAGGGAAUGGGGGCCAUUUCUCCUUAAGGGCCACUUCCUGGGACCAAGGUCAGGGCAGAUGGGGAAGUGAGUAGGGUUUAGUCAGCUUUUUUACUGCUGUGACUAAAAGAUUCGACCAGAACAAAUUUAGUGGGGGGGAAUUUAUUUGGGGGCUCACAAUUUCUGAGGUCUCUGUCCAUAGACAGCAGGCUCCAUUCCUCGGGGCUAGAGGGGAGGCAGGACAUCAUGGAGGAAGAGUGUGGUGGAGGGAAGCAGCUCACAUGGUGACCAGGAAGCAGAGAGAGACUCCACUCUCCAGAGACAAAUGGAGACCCCAAAGCCACGCCCCCAAUGCCCCCUCCUCCAGCCGCGCCCACAUGGGCUUUGGGGGGACACCUCACAUCCAAACCAUAACAGGGUAUUUGCUUACGAAGGAAAAAUGCCAAGUUUGCGUGUGGUGUGACCGUAAGGCCCUGCCCUUUACCCUUGGAGGUAACCAUUUUUCCCUUUAAAAAAAAAAAAAAAAAAAACUUGCUGGGUCAAGCAGAGAUCAAGGCCUAGAGCAGAGGUGAGGGGCUCUGGCCAACUUCUCAGGAGCCCAGAGACUGGCUGGGGCAGGGAGAGAGGCAAGACGGCUAAGCAGCAACCCAUCCAUUCCUCACAG
rnacentral:lncRNA from 1 species